GUCGAACGCUCGUAGCAAUACGGGAGUGGCAGACGGGUGAGUAACGCGUGGGAACAUACCCUCCGGUUCGGAAUAACUCAGGGAAACUUGAGCUAAUACCGGAUACGGCUUAGCGGCGAAAGAUUUAUCGCCGGAGGAUUGGCCCGCGUCCGAUUAGCUAGUUGGUGUGGUAACGGCGCACCAAGGCGACGAUCGGUAGCUGGUCUGAGAGGAUGAUCAGCCACAUUGGGACUGAGACACGGCCCAAACUCCUACGGGAGGCAGCAGUGGGGAAUAUUGGACAAUGGGCGCAAGCCUGAUCCAGCCAUGCCGCGUGAGUGAUGACGGCCUUAGGGUUGUAAAGCUCUUUCGCUCGGGACGAUAAUGACGGUACCGAGAUAAGAAGCCCCGGCUAACUUCGUGCCAGCAGCCGCGGUAAUACGAAGGGGGCUAGCGUUGUUCGGAAUUACUGGGCGUAAAGCGCGUGUAGGCGGGUCUUUAAGUCAGGGGUGAAAUGCCAGGGCUCAACCUUGGAACAGCCUUUGAUACUGGAGAUCUUGAGUCCGGGAGAGGUGAGUGGAACUGCGAGUGUAGAGGUGAAAUUCGUAGAUAUUCGCAAGAACACCAGUGGCGAAGGCGGCUCACUGGCCCGGAACUGACGCUGAGACGCGAAAGCGUGGGGAGCAAACAGGAUUAGAUACCCUGGUAGUCCACGCUGU
rnacentral:rRNA from 1 species